GAGCUACUUAGUGGCGGACGGGUGAGUAACGCGUGGGUAACCUGCCCUAUGCAGGGGGAUAACAGUUGGAAACGACUGUUAAUACCGCAUAAGCGCACAGUAUCGCAUGGUACAGUGUGAAAAACUCCGGUGGCAUAGGAUGGACCCGCGUCUGAUUAGCUAGUUGGUGAGGUAACGGCCCACCAAGGCGACGAUCAGUAGCCGGCCUGAGAGGGUGUACGGCCACAUUGGGACUGAGACACGGCCCAAACUCCUACGGGAGGCAGCAGUGGGGAAUAUUGGACAAUGGGGGAAACCCUGAUCCAAGCGACGCCGCGUGAACGAUGAAGUAUUUCGGUAUGUAAAGUUCUAUCAGCAGGGAAGAUAAUGACGGUACCUGACUAAGAAGCACCGGCUAAAUACGUGCCAGCCGCCGC
rnacentral:rRNA from 1 species